rnacentral:rRNA from 1 species
AUUGAACGCUGGCGGCAGGCUUAACACAUGCAAGUCGAACGGUAGCAGGAAGAAGCUUGCUUCUUUGCUGACGAGUGGCGGACGGGUGAGUAAUGCUUGGGAAUCUAGCUUAUGGAGGGGGAUAACUACGGGAAACUGUAGCUAAUACCGCGUAAUAUCGAAAGAUUAAAGUGUGGGACCUUCGGGCCACAUGCCAUAGGAUGAGCCCAAGUGGGAUUAGGUAGUUGGUGAGGUAAAGGCUCACCAAGCCGACGAUCUCUAGCUGGUCUGAGAGGAUGACCAGCCACACUGGGACUGAGACACGGCCCAGACUCCUACGGGAGGCAGCAGUGGGGAAUAUUGCGCAAUGGGGGCAACCCUGACGCAGCCAUGCCGCGUGAAUGAAGAAGGCCUUCGGGUUGUAAAGUUCUUUCGGUAGCG